rnacentral:rRNA from 1 species
AGCGAACGCUGGCGGCAGGCCUAACACAUGCAAGUCGAACGAACCUUUCGGGGUUAGUGGCGGACGGGUGAGUAACACGUGGGAACGUGCCUUUAGGUUCGGAAUAACUCAGGGAAACUUGUGCUAAUACCGAAUGUGCCCUUCGGGGGAAAGAUUUAUCGCCUUUAGAGCGGCCCGCGUCUGAUUAGCUAGUUGGUUGAGGUAAUGGCUCACCAAGGCGACGAUCAGUAGCUGGUCUGAGAGGAUGAUCAGCCACAUUGGGACUGAGACACGGCCCAAACUCCUACGGGAGGCAGCAGUGGGGAAUCUUGCGCAAUGGGCGAAAGCCUGACGCAGCCAUGCCGCGUGAAUGAUGAAGGUCUUAGGAUUGUAAAGCUCUUUCAGCUGGGAAGAUAAUGACGGUACCAGCAGAAGAAGCCCCGGCUAACUCCGUG